rnacentral:tRNA from 1 species
AGGUUCAAUUCCUAUUUUUCUA